CUUUCCCUGCGGUGUACGAGUGACGCAGAAGCUUUUCACCUUAAUACGUACCCGGGAGUCCGACAUUUGCAUAGCCUACGGCACGCCCUCACGAGGGGAAGUCGGAUGGCUAUCGUGAGGAUACCCACCUGGAGACACAGGUACAUAAAGCUUCUCGUUCAACGGCACAGGCGGGGUUUGU
rnacentral:other from 1 species